UGGGGAAUAUUGGACAAUGGGCGCAAGCCUGAUCCAGCCAUGCCGCGUGAGUGACGAAGGUCUUCGGAUUGUAAAGCUCUUUUUGGCGGGGACGAUAAUGACGGUACCCGCAGAAUAAGCCCCGGCUAACUUCGUGCCAGCAGCCGCGGUAAUACGAAGGGGGCUAGCGUUGUUCGGAAUUACUGGGCGUAAAGCGCACGUAGGCGGACUGAUAAGUCAGGGGUGAAAUCCCGGGGCUCAACCUCGGAACUGCCUUUGAUACUGUUAGUCUCGAGUCCGGAAGAGGUGAGUGGAAUUCCUAGUGUAGAGGUGAAAUUCGCAGAUAUUAGGAAGAACACCGGUGGCGAAGGCGGCCCACUGGUCCGGAACUGACGCUGAGGUGCGAAAGCAUGGGUAGCAAACAGGAUUAGAUACCCGAGUAGUCCCUGAGCGGGCUGGCAAGGCGCAU
rnacentral:rRNA from 1 species